rnacentral:rRNA from 1 species
GAUGAACGCUGGCGGCGUGCUUAACACAUUCAAGUCGAACGAUGAAGCCCAGCUUGCUGGGUUGAUUAGUGGCGAACGGGUGAGUAACACGUGAGUAACCUGCCCUUAGCUCUGGGAUAAGCCUGGGAAACUGGGUCUAAUACCGGAUAGGAGCGCCUACCGCAUGGUGGGUGUUGGAAAGAUUUAUCGGUUUUGGAUGGACUCGCGGCCUAUCAGCUUGUUGGUGAGGUAAUGGCUCACCAAGGCGACGACGGGUAGCCGGCCUGAGAGGGUGACCGGCCACACUGGGACUGAGACACGGCCCAGACUCCUACGGGAGGCAGCAGUGGGGAAUAUUGCACAAUGGGCGAAAGCCUGAUGCAGCGACGCCGCGUGAGGGAUGACGGCCUUCGGGUUGUAAACCUCUUUCAGUAGGGAAGAAGCGAAAGUGACGGUACCUGCAGAAGAAGCACCGGCUAACUACGUG